GCGCGGGUGGCGAAACUGGUAGACGCGCUACUUUGAGGGGGUAGUGGAGUAAAAUCCAUGGGAGUUCAAAUCUCCCCCCGCGCACCA
rnacentral:tRNA from 5 species